UACGUUCAUCGCUAAUUUAAAUAAUAAGCGACGGAAGUAGGCGAAAGCCGAAGGAACGCAUG
ncrna:unclassified sequences Glutamine riboswitch